UACGUAGGGAGCCAGCGUUGUCCGGAUUUACUGGGCGUAAAGAGCGCGUAGGCGGUUUGGUAAGCGGAGGGUGAAAUCCCAGGGCUCAACUCUGGGGCUGCUCUCCGAACUGUCAGACUAGAGUACGGGAGAGGACAGUGGAAUUCCUGGUGUAGCGGUGGAAUGCGUAAAUAUCAGGAGGAACACCCGUGGCGAAGGCUGCUGUCUGGAACGUUACUGACGCUGAGGCGCGAAAGCUAGGGGAGCGAACGGGAUUAGAUACCCCGGUAGUCCUAGCCGUAAACGAUGGACACUAGGUGUUGGAGGCAUCGACCCCUUCAGUGCUGUUCUGCUAACGCGUUAAGUGUCCCGCCUGGGGAGUACGGCCGCAAGGUUG
rnacentral:rRNA from 1 species